rnacentral:rRNA from 1 species
CCAAGGAGUUUAACAUGUGCGCGAGUCACUCGGUCUUGAAUAGGCCAGAGAGGCGCAAUGAAAGUAAAGUUGAUUGAGUUACGAUCCUCAUGCAGUUAUCCUAUUGUGGGUAACGGUGAGGCGCAGUAACAGCCCGCUAGUUUCGCUUAUUGACGAUCUGGCGGAGUUGUAGCGCAUACGUUGAUACCCGAAAGAUGGUGAACUAUGCCUGGGCAAGACGAAGCCAGAGGAAACUCUGGUGGAGGUCUGUAGCGAUUCUGACGUGCAAAUCGAUCGUCCGACCUGGGUAUAGGGGCGAAAGACUAAUCGAACCAUC